ensembl:lncRNA
GAAGCUGCUGAGGUAACUAAGGCGGUCUGAAGCUGAUGAGGUAACUAAGGCAGUGGGUGCUGCUGAGGUAACUAAGGCGGUCUGAAGCUGCUGAGGUAACUAAGGCGGUCUGAAGCUGCUGAGAUAAAUAAGGCGGUCUGAAGCUGAUGAGGUAACUAAGGCGGUCUGAAGCCGCUGAGGUAACUAAGCAGAAACUAGGACAGGCUCCUCACUCACCAAUAGUUAAUUUUUUUUGCAUAUUAUCUGACCAUUUUCACGUGCUGUAUGUGCAUUUAUCAAAACAAUUAGUACAAACACUACUAUAACACACUUAAGAUUGCUCGUGAAAGCCUGUAUAAUCGUGUAAAAUUCUUAGUUUACGUCAUGGAAUAUGUCCGUGCUAGCAGAAUGAAAGGUCGUUGUUGUUUACAACCAUAACCCUAGUUAAACUGCCAUGUCUCACACAUACGAUGAAAAGUAAAAAUAUAAAGAAAAGGUUAUUUUGAGAAACGGAAAGAAAAGGCACAAUAGAGAAAAAAAAAAAAAACAUUUAAAAACGAAUGAAGCCAGCCGUCAAAAAGAGAGUACACAGGCCGAGUUCAAAGGCAGUUUUCUCCCAGUGAUGGGGGUCACGACCCCACACCACAGCAAAAUAAGUUAUUCAGCAAGACAAAAAAAAAAGAAAGAAGAAGUGGGGGGGAAAGGAAAAGAAAAGUCAACCGCAG